rnacentral:rRNA from 1 species
UGGGGAAUAUUGGACAAUGGGCGAAAGCCUGAUCCAGCAAUGCCGCGUGAGUGAAGAAGGCCUUAGGGUUGUAAAGCUCUUUUACCCGGGAAGAUAAUGACUGUACCGGGAGAAUAAGCCCCGGCUAACUCCGUGCCAGCAGCCGCGGUAAUACGGAGGGGGCUAGCGUUGUUCGGAAUUACUGGGCGUAAAGCGUCCGUAGGCGGCUUGCCAAGUCAGAGGUGAAAUCCCACGACUCAAUCGUGGAACUGCCUUUGAGACUGGUUCGCUUGAAGAUGGGAGAGGUUAGUGGAAUUCCGAGUGUAGAGGUGAAAUUCGUAGAUAUUCGGAAGAACACCAGUGGCGAAGGCGGCUAACUGGACCAUUCUUGACGCUGAGGGACGAAAGCGUGGGGAGCAAACA